rnacentral:rRNA from 1 species
UAGGGAAUCUUGCACAAUGGGCGAAAGCCUGAUGCAGCGAUGCCGCGUGAGGGAUGAAGGCCUUCGGGUUGUAAACCUCUUUCAGUAGGGAAGAAGCCACGGGUCACCGUGGUGACGGUACCUGCAGAAGAAGCCCCGGCUAACUACGUGCCAGCAGCCGCGGUAAAACGUAGGGGGCAAGCGUUGCCCGGAUUCACUGGGCGUAAAGCGGGUGUAGGCGGUUCGGUAAGUCGGUUGUGAAAUUUCGCGGCCCAACCGCGAAACUGCGUCCGAUACUGCUGAACUUGAGGACGGUAGAGGUCGGUGGAAUUCCAGGUGUACCGGUGAAAUGGGCAGAUAUCUGGAGGAACACCAGUGGCGAAGGCGGCCGACUGGGCCGAUCCUGACGCUGAGACCCGAAAGCUAGGGUAGCGAACCGG